CACAAUUGUUAGGAGAAAAGUCAAAAUUACGAGAAAAAAUUAAUCUGAAUUGUGUGAAAUAAACUCGUACUUGCAAGAAAAAAGUCUGUAGCCUAUAUGAGAAAUAGAGUCGUAAACGCCAUAGAUAGGCCUACAGCUCAUUCAGUCAAUGCGCUUGAGCUGCAGGAUGGUUCGAUGUUGCAUUCGGCUCUGCGAUGUUGGUAUAAACACUGCCAUCUAGUGUACAAGCCUAUUGAUUGGGGGAGGCAGGCAGUGCUGCAGCCUGUACACUGGAGAGGCAGGAAGCAAAACAUUUACAUUAGCGUGCAAUUUCAAGAUGGAAUCGAAACUCGAGAACAGGAGACAUGUGGAGCCAACCUAAGCCCUCGCCAUAUUUAACUAGACCCCAUUGGCUGGACUCUCUUCCAGACCAGGCAAGUUUACAUGGAUACUCCCAUAGCUAGAGGUUUCCCAAAAUCGGAGAGAGGAGGAGGAAGUGGGAAGUUGUCCUAAGAACGGACAGUUUUGCUGCCACUGACAGGACACUGAUCUGCAGUGAGCACUUCAAGACCGAGGACUUUGACAGGACCGGGCAGACUGUGCAGUUUAAAGAUGGUGUUUUGCCAUCCAUUUUCAGCUUUCCAGCACAUCUUCAAAGGUCGGUUGCAAUAAGAAGCACUACCACUUCAAGAAUAGUGGAAGACAACCUGCCAAUGGACUUGAUACCUGAUGUUGUGAGUAUUUGCAUGUGGAAUGUCACAAACUAAUCAGACCAUCAUAUGGCUUGUAAUAUUAAAUCCUUUAUCUUGGUGGUACCCAGAAAGGUUUAUGUUGGUGUUAGUAAUCUAAGGGCAAUUUCAUACCUGAAAGUCUGGACCAAGGAGCUUGGCUUUGGGGAUUUCCUUGCAUGAAUGUCUUACAUUCAUAAACAUCAUGUUUGUGGCUGCCUGCUGCUCAAUCAGUUUUUUUUUUUGUUUGUAAGAUAUGUUUUAUGAAGAUGUACACAUUACCUGAAAGUGUCACAAGCUAUUUUGAGUAUUUAGAAAAAAAAGGUGUUUUUGACUAUCUGUUUGCAGAAUGUAUCACCACUGAUACAGUCUAAAUUGUUUGAUAAUACUCGUAUAUCGUGUUUUUUUUUUAAGGUGGUAAGGUGGCUGGAAUAACAACCCCAAUGCCAGCCAGUUUAAGUAUAUAUUUAGAAAGCUGAUGGCCUGGUGUGGAGUUGUGGACCAUGCAGAGACAAUGUUACAGCACAGGAUGAGGCCGAGUCAUCGACACCUCUACAAGCCUGUCAACUGUAUAUAUGUCCUCUGCAGCAAGAGAAGAUCUUCCCUUUCCGUUUGCUGACAUUCCUGCAUUAGUACAUGAUCACAGUUACCUUCCCGUCAGCUUCAAUUGUCUUCUGGACAAUGCUCUCGUGUACAUUUCAGGUAAAGGCUGACUGA